AAUAGAUACCCAGGUAGUCCACGCCGUAAACGAUGAGUGCUAAGUGUUAGAGGGUUUCCGCCCUUUAGUGCUGCAGCUAACGCAUUAAGCACUCCGCCUGGGGAGUACGGCCGCAAGGCUGAAACUCAAAGGAAUUGACGGGGGCCCGCACAAGCGGUGGAGCAUGUGGUUUAAUUCGAAGCAACGCGAAGAACCUUACCAGGUCUUGACAUCCUCUGACCUCCCUGGAGACAGGGCCUUCCCCUUCGGGGGACAGAGUGACAGGUGGUGCAUGGUUGUCGUCAGCUCGUGUCGUGAGAUGUUGGGUUAAGUCCCGCAACGAGCGCAACCCUUGACCUUAGUUGCCAGCAUUCAGUUGGGCACUCUAAGGUGACUGCCGGUGACAAACCGGAGGAAGGUGGGGAUGACGUCAAAUCAUCAUGCCCCUUAUGACCUGGGCUACACACGUGCUACAAUGGAUGGUACAAAGGGCUGCGAGACCGCGAGGUUAAGCCAAUCCCAGAAAACCAUUCCCAGUUCGGAUUGCAGGCUG
rnacentral:rRNA from 1 species